UUUCCGUAGUGAACCUGCGGAAGGAUCAUUAAUAAAUGGUCUACGUUUUUUAAGUAGACACUUAAUAAUCCUACCCUUUGUGAAUUGUUGUUUUGAAAUAAUUUUUUUUUAAAAUUAUUGAUUGUCUUUCCCUGUUGAAUAGAAUGUUUUCGAACAUGAAUUCGCAGGGGAGUGUCAGUAAUUUUUAAAAAGACCUUUUUUAAAAUUAAACUUUUGUAUCAUUUGUCUAAAAUUAUUUUAUAAUAUAAAACAACUUUUGACAAUGAUCUCUUGGUUCUCGCAACGAUGAAGACGCAGCAAAAUGCGAUAAGUAGUGUGAAUUGCAGAAUACGUGAAUCAUCGAAUCUUCGAACGCAUAUUGCACUUUUUUAGUUUACUAAAAAGUAUGUCUGUUGAGUAUCAGUAAAAUAUUCUCAUAAAAACAUGUUUUAUGUUAUGGUUUUAACGAGUGUUUUCACUAAAUUUUAAAUUGUUUCUAUUUAAAAUAAAAUUGGAUAAAAUUUUCCCGUAAAAAGGAAUAACUAAACAAUUUAAAUUUUUGAUUAGAAUUCUCAAUUUAAAGGAAAUUUAACUAAAUAACUUGAUCUCAAAUCAGAUAAGAGUACCCGCUGAACUUAAGCAUAUCAGUAAGCGGAGGAAAAGAAACUAACAAGGAUUCCUUAGUAACGGCGAGUGAAGCGGGAAGAGCUCAAAUUUGAAAUCUUCAAGGUUUACCUUGACGAAUUGUAGUUUAAAGAAGUGUUUCUGUUGAAGUUUUGUAAAAGUUCUUUGGAAUAGGACAUCAUAGAGGGUGAGAAUCCCGUAUUUGACCAUUAUUUUCAGCUGUGUGAUACACUUCAAAGAGUCGGAUUGUUUGGGAAUGCAGUCCAAAAUGGGUGGUAAAUUUCAUCUAAAGCUAAAUAUUGGCGAGAGACCGAUAGCGAACAAGUACCGUGAGGGAAAGAUGAAAAGAACUUUGAAAAGAGAGUUAAACAGUACGUGAAAUUGUCAAAAGGGAAGCGUUGACACCAGUGUUGUUUUCUCGAAAAUCAAUUAAAAAAGUUGGAUUUUGUGUUGUAUUGACCUUAACAGCUUGCUUCACUCUUUCUGCUUUUUUAAUGCACUUUUCGUUUAACAAGUCAACAUCAGUUUCUUUUGUUGUAAAGGGUCAUUGGAAGGUGGCUUCUCUUCGGAGAAAGUGUUUAUAGCCUUUGAUCUCUGCAAUCGGAGAGACUGAGGUCUGCAGCGUAGAUCCUUCGGGUUAGAUACAUUUGUGCUAAGCUACAGCUUUCAUAGACAACUUGUUGACUAUGUUAGUCUUGUAAUUACCCGCUUAUGCUAUUUUACCUACGCUUAGGAUGUUGAA
rnacentral:misc_RNA from 1 species